CCUGACUGCUAUCGGAUUGAUACUAAGCCAUGCGAGUCAUUGUAGCAAUACAAGGCAGACGGCUCAGUAACGCGUAGUCAACCUAACCUAUGGACGGGAAUAACCUCGGGAAACUGAGUAUAAUGCCCGAUAGAACAUUAUGCCUGGAAUGGUUUAUGUUCCAAAUGAUUUAUCGCCGUAGGAUGGGACUGCGGCCUAUCAGUUUGUUGGUGAGGUAAUGGCCCACCAAGACUAUUACAGGUACGGGCUCUGAGAGGAGUGGCCCGGAGAUGGGUACUGAGACACGGACCCAGGCCCUAUGGGGCGCAGCAGGCGAGAAAACUUUGCAAUGUGCAAAAGCACGACAAGGUUAAUCCGAGUGGUUUCUGCUAAAGGAACCUUUUGUCAGUCCUAGAAACAUUGAUGAAUAAGGGGUGGGCAAGUUCUGGUGUCAGCCGCCGCGGUAAAACCAGCACCUCAAGUGGUCAGGAUGAUUAUUGGGCCUAAAGCAUCCGUAGCCGGCUUUGUUAGUUUUCGGUUAAAUCUGUACGCUUAACGUACAGGCUGCCGGGAAUACUGCAGAGCUAGGGAGUGGGAGAGGUAGACGGUACUCGGUAGGAAGGGGUAAAAUCCUUUGAUCUAUUGAUGACCACCUGUGGCGAAGGCGGUCUACCAGAACACGUCCGACGGUGAGGGAUGAAAGCUGGGGGAGCAAACCGGAUUAGAUACCCGGGUAGUCCCAGCUGUAAACUAUGCAAACUCAGUGAUGCAUUGGCUUGUGGCCAAUGCAGUGCUGCAGGGAAGCCGUUAAGUUUGCCGCCUGGGAAGUACGUACGCAAGUAUGAAACUUAAAGGAAUUGGCGGGGGAGCACCACAAGGGGUGAAGCCUGCGGUUC
rnacentral:rRNA from 1 species